UGGGGAAUCUUGCACAAUGGGCGAAAGCCUGAUGCAGCGACGCCGCGUGCGGGAUGAAGGCCUUCGGGUUGUAAACCGCUUUCAGCAGGGACGAGGCCGCAAGGUGACGGUACCUGCAGAAGAAGCUCCGGCUAACUACGUGCCAGCAGCCGCGGUAAUACGUAGGGGGCAAGCGUUAUUCGGGUUCAAUGGGGGUAAAGCGCGCGUAGGCGGUCUGUUAGGUCAGGAGUUAAAUCUGGGGGCUCAACCCCUAUACGCUCCUGAUACCGGCAGGCUUGAGUCUGGUAGGGGAAGGCGGAAUUCCAAGUGUAGCGGUGAAAUGCGCAGAUAUUUGGAAGAACACCGGUGGCGAAGGCGGCCUUCUGGGCCACGACUGACGCUGAGGCGCGAAAGCUAGGGGAGCGAACAGG
rnacentral:rRNA from 1 species